GAUGAACGCUGGCGGCGUGCCUAAUACAUGCAAGUCGAGCGAACAGACGAGGAGCUUGCUCCUCUGACGUUAGCGGCGGACGGGUGAGUAACACGUGGAUAACCUACCUAUAAGACUGGGAUAACUUCGGGAAACCGGAGCUAAUACCGGAUAAUAUAUUGAACCGCAUGGUUCAAUAGUGAAAGACGGUUUUGCUGUCACUUAUAGAUGGAUCCUCGCCGCAUUAGCUAGUUGGUAAGGUAACGGCUUACCAAGGCAACGAUGCGUAGCCGGCCUGAGAGGGUGAUCGGCCAAACUGGAACUGAGACACGGUCCAGACUCCUACGGGAGGCAGCAGUAGGGAAUCUUCCGCAAUGGGCGAAAGCCUGACGGAGCAACGCCGCGUGAGUGAUGAAGGUCUUCGGAUCGUAAAACUCUGUUAUUAGGGAAGAACAAAUGUGUAAGUAACUAUGCACGUCUUGACGGUACCUAAUCAGAAAGCCACGGCUAACUACGUG
rnacentral:rRNA from 1 species